UACGUAGGGAGCAAGCGUUGUCCGGAUUUACUGGGUGUAAAGGGUGCGUAGGCGGCCUUGCAAGUCAGAAGUGAAAUCCAUGGGCUUAACCCGUGAACUGCUUUUGAAACUGUAGGGCUUGAGUGAAGUAGAGGCAGGCGGAAUUCCCGGUGUAGCGGUGAAAUGCGUAGAGAUCGGGAGGAACACCAGUGGCGAAGGCGGCCUGCUGGGCUUUAACUGACGCUGAAGCACGAAAGCGUGGGUAGCAAACAGG
rnacentral:rRNA from 1 species